ensembl:snRNA U6 U6 spliceosomal RNA
GUGCUGGCUUCGAAACUUCACUUUGGCAGCACAUAUACUAAAAAAACUGGGAUGAUACAGAGAAGAUUAGCGUGGCCCUUGCACAAGGAUGACAUGCAAAUUAGUGAAGCAUUCCAUAAAACA